rnacentral:rRNA from 1 species
AGUGAACGCUGGCGGUAGGCCUAACACAUGCAAGUCGAACGGCCACACAGUAAGCGUUUGCUCUUACGGGUGGCGAGUGGCGGGCGGGUGAGGAAUACAUCAGAAUCUACUAUUUCGUGGGGGAUCUCGUAGAGACACUUACGAUACUACCUCAUACGCCCAACAGGUUAAAGCAGGAGAUCUUGGCACCUUUCGCGAUUGUAUGAGCCGAUGUCGGAUUAGCUAGUUGGCGGGGUAAAGGCCCACCAAGGCAACGAUCCGUAGCUGGUCUGAGAGGAUGAGCAGCCACACUGGAACUGAGACACGGUCCAGACUCCUACGGGAGGCAGCAGUGGGGAAUAUUGGACAAAGGGCGCAAGCCUGAUGCAGCAAUACCGCGUGGGUGAAGAAGGCCUUCGGGUUGUAAAGCCCUUUUGUUGGGAAAGAAAAGCAGCAGGUUAAUACCUCGCUGUUCUGACGGUACCCAAAGAAUAAGCACCGGCUAACUUCGUG